rnacentral:misc_RNA from 1 species
UAAUCAUGGGAGCUGACAGAGAGUGACAUUGUAUAAAAUGACUAGCAUUAAUACAAUAACGUCGGUUCACGUGAGAAAAUUAGGACAUUCGCUUGACGAGAUUCGUUUGAGAGCACUCGAUAGUAUUAUUUCAAAGAUUGAUCAUGGCUUUGGAUGCGACUGUGGAGCUGUGAAAAAGGAACUUAUUGUUAAAUUAUUCAACUGGUUUGCAUUUCCGAAUGUACCACAACCAGGAAAAGUCUUAGAUCUUUUGCUACGAUUGAUUCAAACAAGUGGAGAAAAUUACACGAAUGCUUUUGGUAAACUGAGAUUCCAAAAUGAAAUUCGUGAAUUACAAUCAACUCUUGACCCAGUUUAUCACAACAAAUUAUAUGAAAUUGAGAGAGCCAUUACCACUACUAACGAUUCUGAAAAGUCAUCUGGAAUAAAAUUACAGACCAUCAAGGCGCCGACCCAGUUCAACACAUCAUCUACAGAGACUGAAGAUCAUCGGUUUAGACCUAGAAUAUCUCAAGUGGAAGGGCACAGUAGUGCAUUGCCGUCUUCUACCACAAAAGCAACAUCAGUUGCAAGUACAUCAUUGUUCGAUUUGACGUUACAAUGUGGAGAUGGAACUCACAUUGACAAGAGAACAGAAGGUGGUAUAAAGUGGUUAGUGAUGCCGUGGCAGCCAUUAGUAACUUCAGAUAGAGGUGUUCUCGCUGCUAUUGAGGAAGCACUGCAUAACGUGACAGACACAACUCUCAUACUUCAUACUUGUCAAUUCAUUACAAAUGUUAUGCUACAAGACUUUCCUGCCGAAGUUUUUUUGCAAAGACCUGCUAUUGUUACAGUCUUACACAGUCUGAUUUUAGCUAAUGAGGAUUACGAACGAGACAAUUUUUCAGAGAUAGCUUCGGCAUUAUUAAAAACCUUCCAUAAAUUGACACGUUCAUUGAGAUUUCGUAUCUACUACUAUUGUGAUCCUUGUGUUGCUAAUAAAAAACAAAAAAUUUUGGCAGAAAAUGUGGAAAGUGUGGCUUAUCCUUCAUCAGAGGAAAGAGACAGCCCAGAUGCUGGGCUACCAGAAGCUAAUUACCAAGCAUAUCAAUCUGCGGGUACCAGCGAACGAAGUCAAAGUAUUACUGAUCACAUAGAAGACUCUGUUCUGCAGUUGCAACAGAUGACAAUACCAAUUUAUUGUAUAGAGACACUGAAGAAUGUUUUGAUGCUCUUGGGCCUUCCAAUUGAUCCCACUUUUCCAUUGACUAAUGUCAAAGAUGUGACAGAUGUGGCGUAUGAGCUUGUACAACUGAUAAAUAUGAGCAUUCAACCUAAUAUUUGGCUCUGCGGUGAUGGCGAGUCUUUAAAAGUAAAUGAAAAUUUGAAAGACCUAAUGAAACUCCUUGGUGAGGUCAUGGAGUAUUUAGGCUCUUAUACCAGUCUGGAUCACUGUAGAGUUACAUAUUUGCAUCUCGUAUGCAUUACCACAAAGCUGCUUAGUAAUAUUGUGCCACUAGAAUUAGCAGAUUUGGUGCUAGCUAAACCACUUAAGUCAGCAAUAGUGGCAGCUGUUAUGGAUGCGCCAACAUAUUUAAUGUAUCCACAGAUACAUGCUAUACUUCAAGAAUAUGCAAGACAAUUCAGUGGAAGAGAAGAACGCGAGAGCAUGAAAUUGUUCGAUGAAACGUGUUUAAUUACGAAAUCAAUGAAAGCUUCUAUUUCGCUGAUGAAAAGUAAUACAGAAAUGUCUGUGCCUAAUGCACUAAAGAAGAUUUAUGCGUCAAAACUAUGUUUCUCAUAUCACAAGAACUUUGGUAUCAUCAGUCGAACGGUUUCAGUUCUACAAAAACUCAAUGAGUGUUCUCUGGAUUCUAAUGAUCGGGCAGUAGCUAUUAAGUUGGUACUUAAUUUAUUAGCAAAUAACGAUCCUGCUGUGCAACUAGCAAUGUACGUAGAAUGUCACAAGGUAGUUAUGGAAUCUCUUGGAGUUACUUUAUCAAAAGGAAAGCAUUUGUGGGGUAAUAUAUCAUUUCUCUUGGAGUCAACUGUUUUGGUAGAAAUAAUCUGUCAUGGUGCAAACAAUGAAAAUCUUGAGAUGAAGCGUUUGGCUGAAGAAAUACUGUUAUACUUGAUAAAGGCCAAAGUCCAACUUGGAGAAGAGGGAUGGAGCAUGCUCAUAGAAGCUCUUGCCCCGGCUCAUGCCCUUCUACAAUGUUACGCUGAUUCAAAAACAACUUUGGGCAAAUGUAUUUUGAAAAUGUUAGAUCCGGAUUUGUGGUCUAGUAUUCAAAUCCCACACAUCGAGGUCCUGAGGGGUAACAUAAGGCUUUUAUUUGCGAUUGACUCAGACGUCAGAGAAGAGGCAAUUUGUCGAUUAAUCUGGCUGUUAGGCAAGGAAACUGAUUCUGUUAAAAAAUUACCUCGGCUGUCUGCACUCCAUGGUUUGCCGCUUAGUUCUGUCUGCAUAUUUGAGAGAAAUACGACAAUCAGGCAAACACAAGGCAACUAUCAGAGAAGCAGUUUAUUAUCUGUAAUCGAAAUGCUAAACGCACCUGGAGUUGAACCAAAAAUGCGAAAGUCGGCGUUGGUACAAAUUAGUGUCAUGCUUACGGACUUAUCGUUACAUAAUGUUUUCAUUACUGAAAACGGUUUGCAGUUAAUUUUGAAAAUCUUCAGCAGUGCCUUGAUAGAACAGGAAUAUACCAAUUAUCCUGAUUCUGUCAUCUCAAUCCUGACAAUAUUGAAGUUGAUUUGUUCAAUGGACAGCUCUAUCAGACACGAAUUGUCUGGCCGUGCUGAUAUUUACCUAAAUAUUCUUCGAAGUUUAUUUCUGUUCCCCAAUAAUGAUUGUGUGAAGAUAGAUGGAUCACAUCUUUUAUGCCUGCUUUUAUAUAGCGAGUAUAUUUUAAGAGCUGGGGAUAAAGAAGUCGAUCGAUUCAAUCCUGUUAAUAUAUCUCUACCAUACCUUGUGGUUUCAAAAAUGAGGUUGCCAUUCACAAGUAAAUGCCAUUGGAAAACCAGUAUACACAGACGCUCAGAUCUAUCAGUUACCCAUAGUAGUAAUGAAAAGGCGUUGACUUUUCUGAGACAGUUCUGGGCUUGGGAAUGGAAUGACGAGGUUCAUCUCUUGUGGAAAUCCUUCAGUACUGUGAAUGACUCUGAGAUAUCAGAAAAAUUAAUUAUUCAUGAAUCUGAGUUCACUUCUCUUCAAUUGAGUUCAGUCCGUUAUUGUUGUCAGCAGCAACUGUAUAAUAUACAAAACUCAACUACCCAUGGAGGAGUUAUGUGUGCACUUGACUUCAUAACUAUGUAUUUAAAGUUAUACGACAUGUCAAAGUGCAGUGAACUAUCUGAUGUCACUUCUCUUCCUUGGGCCCAUUCAUUCGAACGGUUUUUGUUAUCGCAUCCUACCAGCAAAGAAGAUUCUAAAUUAUUUGUACGUGUUCUGACGUUCCUGUACUCCUUUGUUUAUAUUACUAAAAAUGGAGAUAAUACUUGGCUCUGUAAGAUUAUGAAAAAUAUGACCAAGUCUCUGUCAGAUUUACUCCGGAAUCUUGAUACCAAUAACCAAGACAUUCAUCAAUCCAUGCUCAAGCUGGCUCGAGCAUGUUCAGCAACAGAAUCAACAGAUGAAACCGCUGGUGAAUCUAGCAACGAGUCUUGGAUAAAUUUCAUAGAGCUGGUUGUUUCCAGUCUUUGCUUCGGUGACCAGCAACACUUUUAUAAUUUAGCAUACCUUGAUUGGCUUUUGACAUGCCUUUCGUACUUGACGGGAAAGUGUCAGUGGAAUAAGCAUAGAAACUUAUUAAUCUCGCUCGGGAAUGCAUUGAUUGAACUUAUCAUAUCAUUCCAUGGUGCAGGGACCUACAGUUACAUGGGGCUAUCAAUAACAAGGAAUUCUAUUCUUUGUCUGAAUCACUUGCUGUAUCAGAUGCAAAAGAACUUCGAUAAAAGUAUGUGGACGUCAUUUUGGUAUGACGAAGGACGAUGUCUCGGUUGGCUCCCAAUGCUUUGGCAAAAUCGAGAUCCUUUGGUUAGAGCUUCAGCAUUGCAACUACUUGCAGGCUUGACCACUGGCCAACAUACUGCUUCACAACUGUUGAAUGCGAUUGUAUUAGCGCCUAACGAAUUAUGCCAUACAUUACUCGAUCAUAUUACCAACAGAAUGGAGUCCUGUAUAGUGAGAGAACAAGCAGCCAUUGCACUCAGUAACAUUGUGAAGAAUUGUAAAUGUUCAGCUUAUCAGUAUACAGAUUCUUUGAAGUCUGAGGCAAUUUUAAUAUUUGCCGAACAAAGUAAUAUUUAUUACGAAAUCAGCAUCCUGUGUUCUAAUAUUUAUAUGCCAUCAACAUUGGACCCUCAUCCCAGCAAUGCGGUUAAUGACGAAGUUAUGCAAUCACCGUCUCAGCACAACGGCAUGACCAGUAGUGUGUCAUUAGUACGGAAGCAAGUUUCUCACAUCUAUAAUUAUCAAGAUGAAUAUCAACAAUUAUCGGUCAAGGACUCUGAAAUUACCGAGGAUGAUAAUUCACUUCAAUUUGUAACUACUCCAUCUCUCAUCACAGCCAUUUGUAAUCUGCUCAUAAACUUGAUAUCCAUUGAUGAGCAUAAUGUCAUUCGCCAAUUCUACGAACAUUCCAUCGAUAAAUAUUUUUUUGGGUGUAUUAACGGUAUCCCACAAAAUAUUGACUCCAGAAAAAAUCUAGUCCAUUACGGUGAUAUUCUUGAGAUGUAUACCGGAUUAUGUAAAGUCAUUACCAAGUGCGUGACACAUAAUAGUGGGCUUGCAACUACAGCAAGUUUCUCCCCAGAUUCUCUUUAUUCGGUAAUAAGCCUUCUGAAUCAAAAUUUGUUUUAUACAAACACACCAAGAUUAGUUUAUCUACGCAAUCAGCUAUGGACUGAGAUUUAUAAAUUGUUAGCUGUUCUUGCAAUUUCUGAGAAUCAGUGCUCAGAGGCUUUACAAUCUGCAAUUGAAUUAUGUGGCCCGGAAUUGGUGGUAUCUUCUAUGUGCCUAGCCAUCAAAAACACAACGUCUGAACUGCAAAUAAGUGCGAUUGGCUCCCUUGCAUCCUUACUUCUGCACGAAGUACAGAGUGAUGUACCUGUGAAGAAAGGUUCAUCUUUGAAAUUAAUAUUAGAUUCAAGUCGGACUACAGUUUCUGAUAGACGGAACGAAAUAAGCCUUCGAGAAGUUCUAUCGGACAUAAAUAAACUUUCGAUAAAAAACAUUAACAUGCAUCUUAAGAAAUUGGAUGAAACGGACAUUUUCAAUACAGAGAAUCAUCACAACAGAAAUGAUAAGAAAACAGCAGACAGAAAUUUCGCUAUGGUUGGUUCUGAAAUUUGCAAAAUAUUACUACAACUUUAUAUUGCGCAUAGUUACACAAAGAUGAAAAAAAAUCGCAAGCAAUCAGAUGACAAAGACCUAAUUAUUGGGGCGUUGACGAAUUUGCUAUGUGUAUCAGCAGAGGCAAAAAGAACUGCACUCAAAGAAGGUUUAGCUGAGACUACAAUGAUACAGUUAAAAGAGUUAUAUGUCAAACUCAAUGUACAGCCCAUAGAACUUCAGAAUAACGGAUCUGACAGUCGAAUCAAGAUGAAUCCAUUGCUCUAUGAAGUAAACUGCAUUUUCACAUUACUCAUGAAUUUUAUGUACCAUGGUCCACAAGUUAAAGAAACAAUGGCAAAAGCGGGAUUGGCAGACAUUCUACAUAAGUUAUGGGCCUGGGUUUCGAUGCAUAAGACUGUCACCGUAUCUGCACUGAAAUUACUUGCUACUUUCACAACUCAUUGUCAAGAAGCUUCACAGUCCUUGACUUUGACUACGACAUUACCUGGAGUAGGGCUUAGAAAAACUCCAAAUACCGUUGCUUUAAUUCAUGUCACAGUACACUUGGUUUCCAAAGAAAUUGAAAAAGCUGGUCAACGUUUUGACAAUCACAAACUCCAUUUUGCUUUUCAAAUAUUACGAAAUGCUACUCAUAUCCACGAAUGUAGAGUAUCAAUUUCAAAGAGUAAUUUGCUACAGUUCUUUUCAAAGAUCCAUCCGAUGAUAACGAAAAGAGUCAAACCCUGGCCUUUGGUGGAAAUGUACUGUUUGGAGUUUCUGAUUGAUUUUACGUACUAUGAAGAAGGACAAAUAUCUGUAUCUAAGGCUACGGAUGGCUUACAUGUUCUGAUUCACUUGGCUAAGUGCUCAUCAUCGUCAGUCAGAAUUUUGGCUCUCUCGAUAUUACGUAAUCUGGCCUUUAACUCAACGAAUAGGCCAAGGCUCCUUAGUUCGGUUGAUUUCAUCAAUUUGCUACAUAACAUAUUCAGAAAGGGUCAUUUAACUGAAAUUGGGGUAGCUGGAGCCGCACUUUGGUCUCUGAUUAGCAAUAAUCAAAAGGGCAAAUUGAUCGCUCGAAAUGCUGGCUUUCUCCAGGGUAUUCAAGAAGUACUCGGCCGACUAACGCUAUCUGUUUCCCAUGCUGAACAAGAACAGGAAUUAAUCAAGAUGUUGCAAUACCUAAUCCGCAUAUUAAGUACUUCUUCAGAGAAUUCCAAUCAUGCUACAUGAUCGAGUUACUGCUUUGCUGAACGAUUUCCAUAGAAAGGUAAAGCUCCUGUCGUUGGUCUCAAAACAACAAGAAGAAAUCUGGGUGUCGCAUUUUUUCUACGUCGCGAAUAUGUAUGAGAUCAAAUGAAAAUGUUCGUAGCACAGAGGGAAUCCUAAUUGUUAUAAAUUUGCCUAGACAGACCAAGGGUAUGUACGUACAAUGUACAUACUAAAAAGCGUUGUUCAACCAUCUGUCCAUUAGAAUUUUCAGGCUUAUUUAUUAAGUUAAUUAACGUAGACAUGUAUACAUAUAAAUAGGAAAUUGCGUCAGAUAGCUGCGAAUUUAUUAAAAGCAAUUGAGUGUUUUUUUAUUUCACUGUUCACUUUGAUGUUUCGUACUCAUCAUAUAAUCCACUGCUUCGAUUAGCUGUAGAUAAUAAGAAUUUUCAAGAUUUGCAUUCCAGAGUGAUUGACCGGAAUCCAUUAUUAGCGUCUAUCAUUUUCCCAGCUAUCGUGAAAAAUGAUAUAAAAUUAUUGCAUGAUGCAUGAAAAUAGAAAAAUUCGACAUUUGUAUAUUCAAGGGAUAAACGAGAUUAUAAAGCAUUAAUACGUCAUUUUUCAGCCUUUUUGACUGGCUCCGAUAGGCUUCGGAAAUAUUGGGCCAUAUUAUAAACAAAUCUUUACGAUAAGUCAUGGAUAUUUUGGAACUUUCGUUCUUCUUUGUAGGAAGCUAGUUUACUUUCGGCCGACAUCGUAUAGAUAACGAUCAAUUAUAAUAUCCGCCGUGCGUCUUCGAACGUUAACUGAAAUUAUGUUCCAAUUUUAUGUGUAUUGAGAAAGGGAUACGUACAAAGGUAUACCUAUAGUAUUCGCUUUUUAGAUCCAUUGACUCGUCAAAGAUUCAAUUUUCUGCAAACAAAGAGAACUUCUACUCAUCACCAACCAUGAUUUACAUUUACAUGACUAAAUAGUAUAAACCAACGAAUCUAAACCGCAUACUCUAUAAAAAAUUACCUAUGCCAAAAGCGCAGAUUUAGUUACAACGUUAUACACCAAAGCGGUUCAUUGCUUAAUAUUUUUUAAAAACGAUUUUCAUGCCUACCGUGGUUUUUAUUCUAUUACGAAGAUCUUUUUCAACGUUCACUCAUCUGCAUGUAAUACCUUUCACUCGUCAUGUAAUUUUUGCACAUACAUGCAUUGUAGAUCUACGUAUCUAUAGUUAGGUACUAUACGUUACGUUCUAAUUAUGUAAUAACUAAUAAUCUGCUGAAAUUCUGGUUUGUUUACUUAUGUUUACUAUUUUCUUAUAGAUUUAUAUUUAGUGUUGUCUUCUACAUGCUUUUACUGCAUAUUUCUUAUUACAAUACUUACUGUGUUGUGAUGUCAUGUUCAUCUAACAGAGAUUCAACAAUCUUGCAGAUUUAAAACUUCUGAAGAUGUGAUGAAUAUUAAUUCUGAUUUCAUUUUGAGUUUAUUUGAAUCAUGCUUUAAUGGCCAGCGAGAAUUACGAAACGAAAGUAAACUUACUCGGUCGUAUUGUAAUAAUCUAAUCGAGUUACAUAUCGUACGACCGUAAUAUUCUGCAGAAUUUGAUAAUAAGUAUCUUAUAUUAUACAUAUCAGUAUUCUAAAGGAAACAUGACAUUUUCAAAUUUCAUGCAACCGCUGAUAGCUACUAUGGUUUUUUUACCCGCCACGAAUCGGCUAACCAAUGACUCGAAACAAUACGCAAUUGUGAUAAAACCAGAAAUUUGCGAUCUGAUUAUCACGAGAUAAGACUAACGAAAGUACAUAUUAUCUUCAAAGUUGACAAAACAUACAACAGGAAAAUCGUGACGACGACC